UUGACGGGACCCGCACAGCAGCGGAGCAUGUGGUUUAAUUCGAAGCAACGCGAAGAACCUUACCAGAUCUUGACAUCCAAUUGACCAUCUUUUAAUCGAGAUUUUGCCUUCGGGUACAAUUGAGACAGGUGGUGCAUGGUUGUCGUCAGCUCGUGUCGUGAGAUGUUGGGUUAAGUCCCGCAACGAGCGCAACCCUUGUGUUUAGUUGCAAACAGGUCAAGCUGUGCACUCUAGACAGACUGCCGUGGACAACACGGAGGAAGGUGGGGAUGACGUCAAAUCAUCAUGCCCCUUAUGAUCUGGGCUACACACGUGCUACAAUGGCCGGUACAACGGGCAGCGAAGGAGCGAUCCGGAGCGAAUCCUAAAAAGCCGGUCCCAGUUCGGAUUGCAGGCUGAAACUCGCCUACAUGAAGUUGGAGUUGCUAGUAAUCGCGAAUCAGAAUGUCGCGGUGAAUGCGUUCCCGGGUCUU
rnacentral:rRNA from 1 species